rnacentral:rRNA from 1 species
AGCUCCAAUAGCGUAUAUUAAAAUUGCUGCAGUUAAAAAGCUCGUAGUUGGAUUUCUGGUGUGGUGCGCCGAGCCCGCCGCCGUUAGGCGGUGAGUGCUUGUUCGCGCGCCUACCAUCCUUUCGGAGAGCACGUGCUACCCUUAAGUGGGCUGGUGCGUGCGAUCUGAAUCGUUUACUUUGAAAAAAUUAGAGUGUUUAAAGCAGGCGUUUGCUAUGAAUACAUUAGCAUGGAAUAAUAAGAUAGGGCUUUAGUUCUAUUUUGUUGGUUUCUAGGACUGAAGUAAUGAUUGAUAGGGACAGUUGGGGGUGCUAGUAUUUAACGGCCAGAGGUGAAAUUCUUGGAUUCGUUAAAGACUAACUUAUGCGAAAGCAUUCACCAAGGAUGUCUUCU